GCUCAGGAGAAACAUCGACUGUGAGGGGCCCGUCCUUCACCCUUUGUCUUAGCCCAGGAUAUAAACAUCGAGCAGAACCAACAAGCACAAAAACACACCAAGCAAUGCCUCAUAAAGAAUAUUGACUGGGCCCUCUGUGAAUGCAACAUCCCUUUUCAUCCAUUCUUGUGUUGUUCUAAAACCAGUCGAUGCCUGCUUUGAUACCAUGGGUUAAUCCAAUGUUUCUGGUAGUCCAAAUGUCUAAAUGUCCAAUUUUUUCCUCUCAUAUAUCUUUGUUGGAAUGACUAAAAUGUAGUGUUGUGUUCCACAAUCUCGGUAAGAUCAUUAUAUAUCUGAUAAGCAAAUACAUAAUAUGCUAACCUGAUUGUUUAAUUUAAUCUAAAUGAAUGAUUAAAUGCUAUUACUAAUACCAAGUAUCCUUUUAGGUUUAGGUUACUCGAUAUUCUUAAAGCUUGAAAGGGUUCACCACAGACUUUAUUCCUUCAUGACACAUUGUGGAGAUUCCUGUCUUUCCCAAACUAAGAUUUGUCUAACUGGCCAUACAAAUUAUGCAAGCUAUUAAGUCAUUAAGUGAAAAACAAAGGAUUUGUGGUGUUUACUUUUUUUUUUUUUGAAGUAGUAGGAGAUAAAGGAAGGUGGAGAAGAAUUAUUUUUGGCAUCAUCUGCAACAUUUCCUUCACUCAAUCUAUGUCAAAACACCACAACCUAUGCAUCUGUAUUUAAACUUGGAUCUCUCUAGGUGGCUAUGGGACCAUGGAGGAACUCUUUAGAGAUGAUUGCUCAUAAAAGUCUGCCAAAGUCACACACACACACACACACACACACACAUAUAUAUAGAGGAAGGGGUUGAGAAUUUGGGGUAGGCUACAAUCCACUAUAAGAAUAGUAGAUUAGAAGAAAGUGACCAAACAAGGGAGUUAAAUCUUUUCUGUCCAAAAUGUAUUCUGCAUUGUUUUUCCAUCUGGGUGAAGUAUAUCUGUCCAAUCAUGCUCCAAUUUCUUUGCGGUGUUCUUUCAGUCAAUUUCAUGCCUUUAAUUUUAUAAUUUAUGAUAUAAUUUUGAUUGGUAUGCUGAGUUGGAAAUUAUCAAAAUAGAGUUACUGACGGAUUCAACUGAGAUUUAGGCAAUACCACAAUAAAUUCUUCUUGUCAAUCACUUUGAAUAAGAACAUCAUUCAGAUGUCACAUUUUACAGAAGAUAAAUCUUUCAGUCACAUUAACAAACCAAACAAAUAAACUUAAAACAAGAUAGGCAUUUUCUUGACAUUUUAUCUCUAAUGAAUAAGAACACAAAUUAUCAAAAGAGUUACUGACUGAUUCAACUAAGAUUUAGGCAAUAUCACAAUAAAUUCUUCUUGUCAAUCACUUUGAAUAAGAACAUUCAGAGGUAGCAUUUUACAGUAGAAAAAUCUCAGUCGCAUUAACAAACCAAACAAAUAACCUUGGAACAAGAUUGGCAUUUUCUUGACAUUUUAUCUCUAAUGAAUGAGAACACAAAUUAUCAAUAUAGAGUUACUGACUGAUUCAACUAAGAUUUAGACAAUAUCACAAUAAAUUCUUCGUGUCAAUCACUUUGAAUAAGAUCAUUCAGAGGUAGCAUUUUACAGAAGAUAAAUCUUUCAGUCGCAUCAACAAACCAAACAAAUAACCGCAGAACAAGAUUGGCAU
rnacentral:lncRNA from 1 species